rnacentral:rRNA from 1 species
UACGUAGGCAGCGAGCGUUGUUCGGAGUUACUGGGCGUAAAGGGUGUGUAGGCGGUUGUUUAAGUUUGGUGUGAAAUCUCCCGGCUCAACUGGGAGGGUGCGCCGAAUACUGAAUGACUAGAGUACGGGAGAGGAAAGUGGAAUUCCUGGUGUAGCGGUGAAAUGCGUAGAUAUCGGGAGGAACACCAGUGGCGAAGGCGGCGACCUGGACGGACACUGACGCUGAGACGCGAAAGCGUGGGGAGCAAACAGG